UCGCACGAGAGAGUGGAGCAUCCAUGAGUAAAGUGGCGUACGGGUGAGUAACACGUGGAUCAUCUACCUCUUGGUGGGGAAUAACCCUGGGAAACCGGGGCUAAUACCGCAUAAGCCUGCAAAGGGAAAGCAGCAAUGCGCCGAGAGAGGAGUCCGCGGCCGAUUAGCUUGUUGGUAGGGUAAUGGCCUACCAAGGCAAUGAUCGGUAGCCGGCCUGAGAGGGCACACGGCCACACUGGCACUGAAACACGGGCCAGACUCCUACGGGAGGCAGCAGUGGGGAAUCUUGCACAAUGGGGGCAACCCUGAUGCAGCGACGCCGCGUGAGCGAUGAAGCCCUUCGGGGUGUAAAGCUCUUUCGGCAGGAACGAUAAUGACGGUACCUGCAGAAGAAGCUGCGGCUAACUACGUGCCAGCAGCCGCGGUAAUACGUAGGCAGCAAGCGUUGUUCGGAGUUACUGGGCGUAAAGAGUGUGUAGGCGGUUCUCUAAGUUCCGUGUGAAAUCUCCCGGCUCAACUGGGAGGGUGCGCGGAAAACUGGAGGGCUUGAGUAUGGGAGAGGAAAGCGGAAUUCCUGGUGUAGCGGUGAAAUGCGUAGAUAUCAGGAGGAACACCUGCGGUGUAGACAGCUUUCUGGACCAUCACUGACGCUGAGACACGAAAGCGUGGGUAGCAAACAGGAUUAGAUACCCUGGUAGUCCACGCCCUAAACGAUGCAUACUU
rnacentral:rRNA from 1 species